CCUACGGGAGGCAGCAGUGGGGAAUAUUGCACAAUGGGGGAAACCCUGAUGCAGCGACGCCGCGUGAGUGAAGAAGUAUCUCGGUACGUAAAGCUCUAUCAGCAGGGAAGAAAAAAAGUCUUUGGCUUUGGACGGUACCUGACUAAGAAGCCCCGGCUAACUACGUGCCAGCAGCCGCGGUAAUACGUAGGUGGCAAGCGUUAUCCGGAAUGACUGGGCGUAAAGGGUGCGUAGGUGGUUUAGUAAGUUGGCGGUGUAAUUCCGGGGCUCAACCUCGGCGCUACCGCCAAAACUAUUAGACUAGG
rnacentral:rRNA from 1 species